rnacentral:rRNA from 1 species
AUUGAACGCUGGCGGCAUGCCUUACACAUGCAAGUCGAACGGUAACAGGUCUUCGGAUGCUGACGAGUGGCGAACGGGUGAGUAAUACAUCGGAACGUGCCUAGUAGUGGGGGAUAACUACUCGAAAGAGUGGCUAAUACCGCAUGAGAUCUACGGAUGAAAGCAGGGGAUCGCAAGACCUUGUGCUACUAGAGCGGCCGAUGGCAGAUUAGGUAGUUGGUGGGAUAAAAGCUUACCAAGCCGACGAUCUGUAGCUGGUCUGAGAGGACGAUCAGCCACACGGGGACUGAGACACGGCCCAGACUCCUACGGGAGGCAGCAGUGGGGAAUUUUGGACAAUGGGCGCAGGCCUGAUCCAGCAAUGCCGCGUGCAGGAUGAAGGCCUUCGGGUUGUAAACUGCUUUUGUACGGAACGAAAAGCCCUGGGUUAAUACCCUGGGGUCAUGACGGUACCGUAAGAAUAAGCACCGGCUAACUACGUGCCAGCAGCCGCGGUAACAC